rnacentral:rRNA from 1 species
GAGUUUGAUCCUGGCUCAGAUUGAACGCUGGCGGCAUGCCUUACACAUGCAAGUCGAACGGCAGCAUGAUCUAGCUUGCUAGAUUGAUGGCGAGUGGCGAACGGGUGAGUAAUACAUCGGAACGUGCCCUGUAGUGGGGGAUAACUAGUCGAAAGAUUAGCUAAUACCGCAUACGACCUGAGGGUGAAAGUGGGGGACCGCAAGGCCUCAUGCUAUAGGAGCGGCCGAUGUCUGAUUAGCUAGUUGGUGGGGUAAAGGCCCACCAAGGCGACGAUCAGUAGCUGGUCUGAGAGGACGAUCAGCCACACUGGGACUGAGACACGGCCCAGACUCCUACGGGAGGCAGCAGUGGGGAAUUUUGGACAAUGGGCGAAAGCCUGAUCCAGCAAUGCCGCGUGUGUGAAGAAGGCCUUCGGGUUGUAAAGCACUUUUGUCCGGAAAGAAAUGGCUCUGGUUAAUACCUGGGGUCGAUGACGUACUGAAGAUAGGUU